rnacentral:pre_miRNA from 1 species
AAUAAAUCAAUUAUUCACUUUUUACCUAUAAAUUUUGACUCUUCGUCUUAUUCAAUCUUUUUUACGAUUGAUAUUUUUGUUUUUAUUAGAUGAUAAAUCACAAAUAGUAUUUUACGUGUGACUAAUUUUUGUCUAAUUUCCUAAAAAAAUUUUAAAUACGACGGAUGGUCAAACGUUGGACACAGAAACCGA